CAACAAGUCAACAAAAUUGAUACUAAUAUUUGAAGGAAAAAUAUGUACAUUAAUGUCCAAUUGCUUUCCUUUGCAGACCUCUUCUUUCAGGAAUUAUGAGCUCCAUGAUGAAUUAAGUCUUCACCCACUCUGGUUGCACACUUGGCUUGGAUAUACCAUGGCAUUCUUUGUCAUUUUCAGAGGACAUGAGAUGCUGGAACAGAAUGAACGACCUACCAUCAUGGAAGAGCAUUUACUAUCUGGAUCUUUACCAAAAGGAAUCAAGAAUAACUACACUCUGGC